rnacentral:lncRNA from 1 species
AGCAGAUCAACAAGCCUAGGCUGAUGGUGACCGCUGCAGUAGCUCCUGGCAUCUCCAACAUCCAGUCUUGCUAUGAGAUUCCCCAGUUGUCCCCGAUUAGGUCAGGAACUACUGGAAGGACAAUGGAGCCCCAGCUGAGAAGCUCAUCAUUGCAUUCCCAGCCCACGGACACGCCUUCAACCUGAGCAACCUUCCAACACUGGCACUGGCACCCCUACCUCUGGCGCUGGUUCUGCUGGACCCUACACCAGGUUGCACCACCCCUGCUCAGUCCACGGAGCCAGUAACUCCUGUUCCCAGCAGCAGGAGCGGAAGUGGGAGAGAGACCGGGAGCAGCGGUUCUGGAGGCAGCUCUGGCGGCAAUGGAUUCUGUGCCAGCAAAGCUGAUGGUCUCUAUCCUGUGGCAUAAAAGAGAAAUGCCUCCUGGCACUGCCUGAAAGGAAUCAUAUACCAGCAGAACUGAUAGGCCAGGCUUGUCUUUGACACAAUCUGUUUUAUCGUUGCAACUGGGCACAAACCUGACCCGUGUCUCAAUUCCCAUGGGUUCUGAACAGUCUCCUUUGCUUAGCACAUCUUGCUGCCACCUAGGGUUCCAUAAAAAAAUCCAUCAGUCAAAACAUGAGUGUCCUUGGUUUUAAGUGAUUUUGGAGGAAACCUUUCUAGACGUGAAAAUACAGGCUGUAUGCGGGGGUGGAAUGGCGGAAGAUAGUAUGAGGGAGUGGUGGAGCCAACAACCCCAGUCUAAGAUAGUAUGAGGAAGUGGUGGAGCCAACAACACCAGUCU